GGUGGCUCAGUGGUAGAGUGCUUGCCUUGCAUGCACGAGGCCUUGAGUUUGAAUCCUCAGCACCA
rfam:Dipodomys ordii contig_27056, whole genome shotgun sequence.